rnacentral:lncRNA from 1 species
GGAGCAUCCUUUCACGGAGGUACCCAGUCGGGGUGCCAGGUGAUCCGUUACAUUGGUGGCAAGCGGUGGGAUGGCGUCCUAGUGCGAGGUAAAGCAGCUCAGAGACACAGUUCAUGGAUUUACAAAUUGAAGGCGACGCUAGUGUUCAUACAGCGUCCCUGUCUACAUAAAGAUUUGGGAAAACCAGCACUACUUCAGAGAUGGAAGGCUGUGCAGUAUCUCACUUUGACGCCAGGCUCCAGCAGCGACUACAGGAUGUG